AUACGGAGGGUGCAAGCGUUGUCCGGAUUUAUUGGGUUUAAAGGGUGCGUAGGUGGCGUGUUAAGUCAGUGGUGAAAGCCUGCAGCUCAACUGUAGAGGUGCCAUUGAUACUGACAUGCUUGAGUAUGGACGAGGUAGGCGGAAUUUGUGGUGUAGCGGUGAAAUGCAUAGAUACCGCAAAGAACACCGAUAGCGAAGGCAGCUUACUGGACCAUAACUGACACUGAGGCACGAAAGUGUGGGUAGCGAACAGGAUUAGAAACCCCAGUAGUCC
rnacentral:rRNA from 1 species